UCAGCAUUUACCUGUAACGAUUCAGGACCCACCAAAGAGGGACCUGUGUGCUCCUAAGGACGAUUUCUAUUGUGUGUACUGCACUGGUGCUCAAGCUACAGCAAUAGGCAUAAACCUUGAGAAUCACAACAGAGUUGGCCUGGAUUUACCCGUUACUGUAAGGAAUGCGUGUGAUCACAACCGCCAUGACCAACCUCCAUCACAUGCCGGACCAUCAGGCUGCCUGACCCUGUAACCCUCCAUACCACAAUGCCAGCCCCUGAAAUAAAAGCUCAAUAAAAUAACA
rnacentral:lncRNA from 1 species